ACAUAAUAAUUUAAAAUAAAUAUGCUAUUAUGAUUGUAUACAAUACACAUUUAUUAAAUAGAAGAUAACAAAAAAAAACUAAACGACGAUGUGGGUACGAGUUGAUAUUAUGUGAUUUUAGAAAGAUAACUUUUGUCUUUACAUUACGUAUUAUAUAAUUGAACCAGGUGUGGAUGCGUUAGAAACAAGUAUCGUCAUUAGAAGACCAUAAUUGUAAUAGCUUAUUGUAAUGGCCACGUAAUUAACUUUUAACACUUCUUCAAAACCACUAUGGUUCGUCCAUCGUGAGUAUAUUUAAAGAAACUUUGGUUUCAUUUUAUUUCAAACACUAUAUAUUUUAAAACAUUGUGAGAAAAUCACAAUAAAAUUUAAUGAAAGAUUUUGGAGUUCCUGGUUUAUCUGACUUGUUGGAGUAAAAAGAGGAGUUCAAAGAUAAAAUGGAGAAAAUGAGUCAAGAAAAUGAUUGACUUUUUCACUGGUCGGUACCGAAGACAUAUAAAAUCGAUAAGUUUGGGGUUUCUAAAGUUUCAUUUUUCUAUGUUUUAGCGCUAUGACCAUUGCAUAAUAAUAUCCGAUGUAUUUUAGUCGAAUGAGUGCGACACUUUAUGCAAUUUUUCUAGUUUCUAAGUUUGUUCUUCUUUUGAUAGUUUUGUUUAAAAUAUUCUUCAAACUCUUUGCAAAUCUCUUUUCAAAGUCAAUGAUCUCUUUCUCUAUUGUAAUCAUGUUUACCUGGGCCAUGAGUAGUAGUCCUAUCAUUGAAUUUGGGAUUUGAAAGAGGUUGUUUAUUUAAUAUACUUGUUAUUUAAUUUAUGGGAUUGUUUUU
rnacentral:misc_RNA from 1 species